rnacentral:tRNA from 1 species
GCCUGGGUGGCUUGGUUGGUUAAGCGUCCGACUUCGGCUCAGGUCAUGAUCUCACGGUCCGUGGGUUCGAGCCCCGCGUCGGGCU